rnacentral:tRNA from 1 species
GGAAGGGUACCGAAGCGGUCAUAACGGCACCGACUCGAAAUCGGAUGAGGGCGAAAGCUCUACGUGGGUUCGAAUCCCACCCCUUCCG